UUUAUCAUAGGUCAAACAAGGUCAAAGGACCUUGGAGAAAAAAUUUCAUCAUUUUUGGAAACUUAAAACUAUAUUUAAACAAUUAAAAACAUUCAUAAAAUCAAUUAAAUCAUGAAAAAUAUUAAUAAUGAUCCAAAAAAUAAUUUUAAUUCAUAAAAUGAAAGAGGAAAUUAUUUAAAUUUUUUUGGUGAAACUCUCAUAUUUUUUGUAUCAAUAUUAAAAUUAAUAUGAAUUAAUGAAAAUAAAC
rnacentral:lncRNA from 1 species